rnacentral:tRNA from 1 species
UCCUUCAUAGUCUAUGUGGUUAGGAUACCCGGCUCUCACCCGAGAGAACUGGAUUCAAUUCCCGGUGACAAAA